rnacentral:rRNA from 1 species
UACGUAGGGUGCGAGCGUUGUCCGGAAUUAUUGGGCGUAAAGAGCUUGUAGGCGGUCUGUCGCGUCUGCUGUGAAAAUCCGGGGCUCAACCCCGGACUUGCAGUGGGUACGGGCAGACUAGAGUGUGGUAGGGGAGACUGGAAUUCCUGGUGUAGCGGUGAAAUGCGCAGAUAUCAGGAGGAACACCGAUGGCGAAGGCAGGUCUCUGGAACGUAACUGACGCUGAGACGCGAAAGCGUGGGGAGCAAACAGG